GAUGAACGCUGGCGGCGUGCCUAAUACAUGCAAGUCGAGCGAAGCGGGGACGGGUGAGUAACACGUGGAUAACCUCCUAUAAGACUGGGAUAACUUCGGGAAACCGGAGCUAAACCGGAUACUUAUCGAUGGAUCCGCGCUGCAUUAGCGAGUUGGUAGGGUAACGGCUUACCAAGGCAACUAUGCAUAGCCGACCUGAGAGGGGGAUCAGCCACACUGGAACUGAGACACGGUCCAGACUCCUACGGGAGGCAGCAGUAGGGAAUCUUGCGCAAUGGGCGAAAGCCUGACGGAGCAACGCCGCGUGAGUGAGGAAGGUCUUCGGGUCGUAAAGCUCUUUUAUUAGGGAAGCGGUACCUAAUCAGAAAGCCACGGCUAACUACGUGCCAGCAGCCGCGGUAAUUC
rnacentral:rRNA from 1 species